UACGUAGGGGGCAAGCGUUGUCCGGAAUCAUUGGGCGUAAAGCGCGCGUAGGCGGCCUGGUAAGUCCGUUGUGAAAGUCAAAGGCUCAACCUUUGAACGCCGAUGGAUACUGCCGGGCUAGAGUCCGGAAGAGGCGAGUGGAAUUCCUGGUGUAGCGGUGGAAUGCGCAGAUAUCAGGAGGAACACCAAUAGCGAAGGCAGCUCGCUGGGACGGUACUGACGCUGAGGCGCGAAAGCGUGGGGAGCGAACAGG
rnacentral:rRNA from 1 species